AGGCUCAUAUGGAUUAAUGACCAACUCCUGCCUCUUCUAUACUCACAUCAGCUGGUAUUACGAGAUCCCGGCGAUGAUCUGAGACUGAUAUGCCAUGCCAUCUGUUUUCAUGGCUGUUUGCUGAAAUUCUCUCUGUCCGAUUCAUCUGUACUGGUGUGUGCUGAGCAGAUGGCCCGGUAAUAUGAGAUCCAUGAUGUGAGAAGUCCUGACUGUUGGACUGGGGUCAACAGUGAAUCUCUCCUUUCCUAAGCAACCUGGGUUCCAGAAUUAAGGAGCAUCGAUCAAGUUUGGUGGGAGGAUGAUUUUUUUAAGUUACUCGAGUUCUCCAAUGGUUGAUGUUAUGACACAACAAAAAUGAAGAAGUAUCAAAUGUUGCCUUGAUCUGCAUACUUUCAGCAUGUCUCCAUCCUUUUGGAGGAGGUACAAAUGGAGAACGCAUAUGAUUUCAAGUGUCUUGCGCCAAACAUGUUAUGUAUGACCACAGCAACGUAUUGAGGACGGGCUAGCCUUAGAUUUGAAUUCAAGAAGUGAAAAGCCAAAUUUGUGCUACUUCUGCAGACAGAUGGCUCCAGAAGUGGAUUGGAUUCGAGUUAUUCUACAGUUCAGAUUUAACUGUAGGUAAUUCACCUGGUUGUUUAUGGACAAGUGGAAUUACAUUUUUUUUGGGUCAGAGAUGGAAUUUUUCCUUAGUGAUGCUAUCCAGGUGGUUUGUUUGCUGUGUCAGUGAUAUCUGUUGUGGAAGAGUAUCUUUGUGUGGAGAAACCAGGAUGAAUCAAAGUGCAAGAUAUUGGAGCCCAACCUUCCUGUGAUUGAGAGACUUGCCGGGUAAUACUGAUGCCAUGAAAAUUACCGGGGAUUUCUAUUUUAACCCAGGAUAGCAGUUGACUGUGCACUAUAGAGUUCAUAGCCGGCUUUCAGCCAACCAAUCGGGGAACACCAAUUUAUGGUGAGUAACCAAAAAGUUAAAUCUUAUUGAAUUAUGACUCCUCAGUGAAUAAUCUUGAAGGUGUUUGGCUAAAGAUGCUAUUCUGGUGUAUAUAGCAGCAAUUUAUAGAUUCUCUGGCAUGAAUCAUAGGAAUGCAAUAUGGUGUUCCUUGAAUUGAUGAAGAAUCUCCAAUGUCUAGAAAUAUGUUGAUUUAUUAGAUAAUUUCUAUAUUCCUUAGCUCUGUAGAGAUAACAGAGGCUAUAUGUCCUUGCCGAUGGAUGCCCUGUUGGGUCUAGGGCACCAACAUGAGACUAGUUCAUAGCUGAUAAUCGGAUAUCCGGUUCUACAGCCACAAGGGACUGGUGUUGUAAUGAUGGUAUCUAGAUAAUGAACUUGUUAUGUCAGUGUAAUUAGGCAAAUUCUGCUCUUCAGAAGCUCUGCUAACCGACAGAAGUGAAGUAUUGAUUGAAAAUACAUGCAAUUGAAGAAUACAUCACCUCAGAGAUGUGAAACUUUGAAUUUUGCUAUAGGAUAUAUUGGAAUCUUGAAGCAAAUUCAAGAACAAGUAUCAUAAUUUGGUAUGUCUUCUUGGAAACAUGUUAAUCUACCAGGUUCGCCUUGCAGGCUUUAUCUAAAUUUGUGUUCAAGUUUGCUCUGGGCUUUAUUUCUGCUGUCUUCUUGGAAUACUGGGUGCAGCGCUUCGUAAGAUAUGCUGUUCGGCAUACGGUAUCCCGGGGCUGGCCAACGCUCCCGGGGUCGCUUUCGUUCGGAUCCGCUAUCCGCGAUACGGCGCGAUCCCUUGGCCGUCGUGAUGCGAUGGAAUAGCCAAUACGGGAACCGCAUGCAACUUUCAACUGCUAGGCCCCGGCUGCGGCGAGAUUCCAGCGGUUUGUCUCCCUCUCCCGCGUCAAGUUCCCAUUGGUGCCGACUUCCAAGACCGCCGCUGAGCAAGAAUUUGGCUUGGAAUGACUACUUGUUAACCAGAUAUUUUCCGCCGUCCCAGGGAGUAUUUUUCAUCACACUGCAAGAGAUUCUCACUUCACAUCAGUAACAGUUUUCUUUAUUGCUCCAAAGUAUGGUUUACUUAAUUAUCCAGACCUUUUUUUUUCAUGUCCGAGAGCACAUUUUUCAUUACUCGGCAAAAUAUUCUCUCCUUACAUCAAUAACAUUUUUCUGUAUUUCUCCAAAGUAUGGUUCAAUUAGAGCUCUGAGAGGAUUCUAAUAACUCAUGGAGUUCUAUGGCCAUCCUUCGCAUUGUACUAUUUGAUUGCGCUAACUCUAAUCAAUCAAUUAUUUGCUCAUAAUCCAUAUGGUCAAUGUUCUAACUUCAAAUUUUCAUAGAUGCUUUUAUAGCUGACUCAAUGCCAAUAUACCUCCUCAUGCCAUUUUCCACUUGUGCUUUUCUAUUUUUGGUUAUUCCCUUAAACACUGUUGAUAUAUUGGAGGCCGGACAAUCCACCUUGCAUUCCAAAGUUUGAAGAGUUAAUCAGCUCUAUGGUUAUAAAGUCUUCGUUAGUUUAUUUUAAAUAAUUAGGGGUUAUUGACUAAUUUGAUUAUCUAAUGCUUGCUAAUGACUUGAUUGCUAGGAUUCUCCCCUGCAUACUUUUUUUUUUUUGAGCAAAAGGGUUGCAAGCCAACACUCAUUUCAUUAAAAUAAUGAAAUUGGAAACACUUUGCAUACAGAAAUCUCCUAGGGCUGUUGGUUGUUGUGGUUCACCUAUUUGAAGGUUUAGGUGGUUAACAUGUUUACAUCCAAGAAGUUUCUUGGGGAAACAUUAGUAUGGAUGAUGUUGUUCUUAGGGAAAGAAGUCCUCUGUUAAGCCUUUCAAUGGAAGGGGUUUGAAUAAUGCGUUGCAUGCCCCACACAAAGAUUCAAGAAAUCAUGAGUUUUGAGCCCCUAAUAAUAUAUCAUUACUUAUGCUUUGAAGAGUCUGAGGAUUUCCAUAUCAGAUAUCGAUGCUAAACAGUUCUCUGUAUGUUUUGUAGCCUUUUUUCAGGUGAUUAUAAUAGUUUCCUUGCCCUCUUCAAUGGCAACGCUCCACGGUUACCUCUCUGUUUUAUAGCCUUAUUUUAGGUGAUUAAGACGGUGCAAUGAUUUGCAACUCUUGCAGGAUAAAGAUAUGAUCCUGUUCCACCAAACUUCAUAUAAAAAUUGGAACUUUCUUCUACCCCUUUGCAAAUGACAUCUCCUUAAACAACACAUUAUUUCCACAUCUUCGAUUGCAGCUUUGUUGUCAAUAGUUAAUUUGACAGAGAUGUUUGCGGACAAAGAUGUGUUUUAGUGACAAAUUUAAGUAAAUCUACAUUGCGCAACAUUGCCUCCUGUUCCCUCUUUUUUAAUUAGAUAUUCUGACAAAGAUGUUUGAUGAUAUAGAUGUGUUUUAAUAAUGAACUUAACCAGAUCUUCUUUGCCCAACGCUUCUUUCUCUUCCCUCUUUCAACAAUACAAGCUUAAGAUACUGUGUCACCUACUUAUAGACAGUGCCCCAACUCCAAAAUUCCGCAUUUGGACUGAUCAUUUGGAUUUACUUUUGUUAUGAUCUGUCUAGCACCUGAUGUUAAUUGUGUUUUAAAAGGAGUUGAAAGUGACUAGAUUUAUAAUUUUUUGGUCUCCCACUUAGAUUUAAAUAACUUGAUUCUAGUCUUUUUUAAAAGUUCUUUUUUAAUAAAUCUGUUUUAUUUGUUAUUGAUCCUGCUUAUCAUUAGGAGGAGAAUCUCGAUCCUGAAAUGGUCAAGGUUUCUAUUCCUUCUGCAAUGCCAAAAAACAUAUACAAGAGAUUGGAGGCUGUUGCAAAUUUGUUUUGUUUUCUUUGAAUAGCAAUGUGAUCAAUAAUGGGACAGUUGGGGCUAUAGCUGUUGUUUUUUUUCCUUCAGUGCCUUUUUUUUUUUACUUUUGCACUGACAAAUGUUUUAUUUCUUCCUUUCAGAUGGUAUGUGAUCAAAGAAGUUUCGAAAUACCUUGGAUGUCUUAAUUCUGCAACAAAGGCAUCUUAGGGUAUCUUAGUGAUUCACAUAUCCAUAUUUGUCUGCAAUAUAUUGCUUGGUUUCUUCAUCUCCGACGAGAACUAUAAUGUUGUAUAGCCGGUCAAGAAAGUAGUGUCAUAAUGCAAUAGGAUUAUGCAUCUUCAAAAGUUCUAUCUAAAUUUUCUCUAUUCUCUGAGAUUGCUCCAAGGGAUUAGACCUUAGGAUAUUUUAUAAGGCGGAGGCCUACACUUUCUCAUCACAUCUCCAUCGAGACAUUAAUUAAGAGAAACGUAUUUGGCUCUUCAACUUGCAGCAUCCAGUUUAGUCUCGGUAGAGAACAAGAUACUCUCUCAAGGCUUCUUGCAAGAUAAGGUCCGAGUGACCAUUUCCUGUUUACAGGGAAUGCUCGUCUUAUUAGAUUUGCUCAUGGCUAUUUUUAUAUUUGUUUUUGUCUUCAAAAGGCAUAAUUAAUUUAUUCCCCUGUUACCGGCA